rnacentral:misc_RNA from 1 species
CUGGACCUAGAGGGCGAUGGUUAGCUCUUAGGAUUGGUUGUGCGUGCUGAAGACCUCCGUUCAUGCGCUAAGGUUUUAUUUGGGAAAACUGCAUAAAACACUGGCCAAUGCUGCAAGUCGUCAAGAAUCUUAGCCUUCUUAGGAUCAAAUCCUCUCUGGCUUGGCAUGGAAUGUGCAAAAUCCGUAGAAUCCAUUGGCCAUCCUCGAUUGUAAGGAAUACAUUCACAGAGUUCUUUAAGAGCAAUGGCCACCAGCACAUUAGAUCAAGCCCAGUUAUUCCAUGGAAUGACCCAAGUUUGGCCUUUGUUAAUGCUGGUAUGAAUCAGUUCAAGCCAGUUUUCCUUGGACAUCAGCAACCCUUUUGCCCUCGAGCCACGAACAGCCAGAAGUGUAUCCGUGUUGGGGGCAAACACAAUGACUUGGCUGAUGUGGGUACUGAUACGUAUCAUCACACAUUCUUCGAAAUGCUUGGAAACUGGUCCUUUGGAGACUAUUUUAAAAGAGAGGCUUGCACAAUGGCGUGGAAUCUCCUAACAGAUGUGUACAGAUUACCUCCUGACCGUCUUUAUGUCACGUACUUUGGGGGAAAUGACAAUGCAGGGCUGGAGGCAGACCUUGAAGUUAGGGACAUAUGGAGGGCAAUAGGUGUUCCAGAUAACAGAAUCAUCCCAUUUGGCAUGAAGGACAACUUCUGGGAAAUGGGAUCACACGGACCUUGUGGACCGUGCACUGAGAUACAUUAUGACCGCUUAGGACGUGCUGAAGCUAGUGAGAGGGUUAACCUUGGUGUGGAAGACGUGAUUGAGUUGUGGAAUUUGGUAUUCAUUCAGUAUGAAAGGUUAAAGGAUGGAAAUCUGAAGACACUAACUACCCAGCAUGUGGACACAGGGAUGGGUCUGGAACGCAUAACGGCAGUGUUGAAUAACAAGUCAUCAAAUUAUGACACUGACCUCUUCAUGCCUAUAUUUUCAGCAGUGGAAAAGUUGAGUGGAAGAAGAGAAUAUAAGGGAAAUUUUGAGGAGGGCCUAUGUAUUGAUACAGCUUACAGAAUACUGGCUGAUCAUACCAGAAUGUUCACUGUAGCUCUUGCGGAUGGGAUGUUUCCAGAAGACAGUCACAAAUUACGACGCGUCAUGAGGCGAGCCAUUACAAUUGGAGAGGAGCAGUUUGGUUUCAAAAGAAAGGAUGGAAGUCUCUAUCAUUUAACUGAGAUUGUAGCAGAAACACUCAGUGAUGCCUAUCCAGAACUGUUUGAUCAACUAGGAAGAAUUCAGUUGAUCCUGAAACACGAGGAAGAAUUGUUUUCAGAACUUCAGAAGAAAGUUAACAGAGAAUGGGCAGACCUUCUCCAAGGACAACCAGAACUUCGGAUACUUUCUGAUCUGCAUGCUCCUGGUAUCACUGAAGGUGUCAAGGAGAUAUUACCAUAUAUACAAGAGUGGAAGGAGCAUGACUGUAAACUUCCAGGCCAUGUGGCAUUAAAGCUGUAUGAUACUUAUGGUCUCCACAUUGAUCAGAUAGAAGAGCUCGCUGAAGUCUACAACUUGACUGUGGAUCAAGAAGGUUUUGAAAAAGGGUUGAGUGAAGUUCGCCAGUUGACGAGAAGUGUCAGCCAGCAAAGGAUGGAGGGCUCUGCGACAUUUGACAAAGAAAUAAUCUUAGAAGAUCUUGUCAGACUACACAUUCCUGUUACUGAUGACAAAGCUAAAUAUUCCUUUGAAAGCUCUGAUGGACUUUAUUCUUUUAAACCUUUAAAGAGCAAAGUCCUUUCAAUUUUGGUUGAUGGGAAGUUGAGUGACAAGACUUCUGCUCAACAGAAAAUAGGGAUUAUCACAGAUAGGACAAACUUCUACCAUGAAGCUGGAGGCCAGGUGGGAGACACUGGGUCAAUUGCAAGAAAUAACACAAAAGUUAAAAUCACAAAUGUUGAAAAUGUGGGAGGUUAUAUCAUUCACUGGGGAGAAGUAGAAUAUGGUGAACUGGCAGUUGGAGAUAUAGUGACUGGAAAUGUUCAGUCACAGCAUCGCAUUGGUUGUAUGCAGCACCACACUGCUACACAUCUGCUGAAUGCUGCUGUCAAAUUUGUGACUGGACUAUCUUGCCAGAGAUCAUCUCUUGUGACUCCAGAUCACCUUAGUCUCAGUGUAAGAACUUAUCGGCCACUCAAUGAGAGCAGCAUAGAAAGGACAGAAAGUAUUGUCAAGAAAUGGAUUGCUGCAAGCAAGCCUAUUGGUAGAAGAAACAUGGACAUGAAAGACCUCUUAAGGGAAGCCAACAUUACUUUAGUCCCUGGUGAAGUCUACCCAGACACAGUUCAUGUGAUCACUUCACGUCUAGAUCUCCAAGAGGAAGGCAGUAAAGAGGAGCAGUUGUUAUCAGUUGAACCUUGUUGUGGUACACACCUCCACAACAGUGGUCAUAUUGGUAACUUUGUAAUUACUAGUAUUAAAAGUGCGGGUGUUGGUAUACGUAAUAUACGAGCUGUGUGUGGGGCAGCAGCUGGAAAAGCUUUACGUAAUGCAACAGAAGCACAAGCACAACUGAGGGACUGGGAAAAGCAAGUGGAAAUGGAACUGUCUACCAGUAAUCAUAAAAGGUGAUACAUACACAAUUAAUAAUUUUGAUUUGAUGUAUGAUUUAUGCAUUAACGGGGGAUCUUGCAAUCAAAAAUAAGAAAGCUUGAGAAAGAUCUUAUAACUUGGCGCAAUAAAAAGGAAGAGAUACCAUUACCCUACUUAAUGCGAGCACAAAUUAACAACUCAUUGGAC